UAAGGAAUAUUGGUCAAUGGACGCAAGUCUGAACCAGCCAUGCCGCGUGGAGGAUGAAGGUCCUCUGGAUUGUAAACUUCUUUUAUUUGGGAAGAAACCCGGGAUUUCUAUUCCGGUUGACGGUACCAGAUGAAUAAGCACCGGCUAACUCCGUGCCAGCAGCCGCGGUAAUACGGAGGGUGCAAGCGUUAUCCGGAUUCACUGGGUUUAAAGGGUGCGUAGGCGGGCAGGUAAGUCAGUGGUGAAAUCCCCGAGCUUAACUUGGGAACUGCCAUUGAUACUAUCUGUCUUGAAUGCUGUGGAGGUAAGCGGAAUAUGUCAUGUAGCGGUGAAAUGCUUAGAUAUGACAUAGAACACCUAUUGCGAAGGCAGCUUGCUACACAGAUAUUGACGCUGAGGCACGAAAGCGUGGGGAUCAAACA
rnacentral:rRNA from 1 species